ACUCCUACGGGAGGCAGCAGUGGGAAUCUUGGACAAUGGGCGCAAGCCUGAUCCAGCCAUGCCGCGUGAGUGAUGAAGGCCCUAGGGUCGUAAAGCUCUUUCGCCUGUGAAGAUAAUGACGGUAGCAGGUAAAGAAACCCGCGUACAUCCGUGCCAGCAGCCGCGGUAAUACGGAGGGGGUUAGCGUUGUUCGGAAUUACUGGGCGUAAAGCGCACGUAGGCGGAUUAGCAAGUUGGGGGUGAAAUCCC
rnacentral:rRNA from 1 species